rnacentral:rRNA from 1 species
AUUGAACGCUGGCGGCAUGCCUUACACAUGCAAGUCGAACGGCAGCACGGGGCAACCUGGUGGCGAGUGGCGAACGGGUGAGCAAUGCAUCGGAACGUACCUUUCAGUGGGGGAUAACGUAGCGAAAGUUACGCUAAUACCGCAUAUUCUGUGAGCAGGAAAGCAGGGGAUCGCAAGACCUUGCGCUGAUUGAGCGGCCGAUGUCAGAUUAGCUAGUUGGUGAGGUAACGGCUCACCAAGGCGACGAUCAAUAGGGGGUCUGAGAGGAUGUCCCCCCACACUGGUACUGAGACACGGACCAGACUCCUACGGGAGGCAGCAGUAGGGAAUAUUGGUCAAUGGGGGCAACCCUGAACCAGCCAUGCCGCGUGCAGGAAGACUGCCCUAUGGGUUGUAAACUGCUUUUGUACGGGAAGAAAUGUCACUAUGCGUAGUGAUUUGACGGUACCGUAAGAAUAAGGAUCGGCUAACUUCGUGCCAGCCGCUGCAGUAACAC